rnacentral:rRNA from 1 species
AUUGAACGCUGGCGGCAUGCCUUACACAUGCAAGUCGAACGGCAGCACGGGAGCAAUCCUGGUGGCGAGUGGCGAACGGGUGAGUAAUAUAUCGGAACGUGCCCAGUAGUGGGGGAUAACUGCUCGAAAGAGCAGCUAAUACCGCAUACGACCUGAGGGUGAACGGGGGGGAGCGCAAGGCCUCGCGCUCUUGGAGCGGCCGAUAUCAGAUUAGCUAGUUGGUGGGGUAAAGGCCUACCAAGGCAACGAUCUGUAGUUGGUCUGAGAGGACGACCAGCCACACUGGGACUGAGACACGGCCCAGACUCCUACGGGAGGCAGCAGUGGGGAAUUUUGGACAAUGGGCGCAAGCCUGAUCCAGCAAUGCCGCGUGCAGGAAGAAGGCCUUCGGGUUGUAAACUGCUUUUGUCAGGGAAGAAAUCCUCUAGGUUAAUACCCUUGGGGGGAUGACGGUACCUGAAGAAUAAGCACCGGCUAACUACGUGCCAGCCGCCGCAGUAAUAC